rnacentral:rRNA from 1 species
UACAGAGGUCCCAAGCGUUGUUCGGAUUCACUGGGCGUAAAGGGUGCGUAGGUGGCGAGGUAAGUCGGAUGUGAAAGCUCGGAGCUCAACUCCGAAAUGGCAUUGGAAACUACCUUGCUCGAGGGUUGGAGGGGGGACUGGAAUGCUUGGUGUAGCAGUGAAAUGCGUAGAUAUCAAGCGGAACACCAGUGGCGAAGGCGAGUCCCUGGACAACUCCUGACACUGAGGCACGAAAGCUAGGGGAGCAAACAGG